CACGUAGGGCGCGAGCGUUGUCCGGAAUUAUUGGGCGUAAAGAGCUCGUAGGCGGCCUGUUGCGUCCGCUGUGAAAGCCCGGGGCUUAACCCCGGGUCUGCAGUGGAUACGGGCAGGCUAGAGGUAGGUAGGGGAGAAUGGAAUUCCCGGUGUAGCGGUGAAAUGCGCAGAUAUCAGGAGGAACACCAAUGGCGAAGGCAGAUCUCUGGGCCGUAACUGACGCUGAGGAGCGAAAGCAUGGGGAGCGAACAGG
rnacentral:rRNA from 1 species